AGAAAUUUACCGCAGUGGGAGGUACAGCUGGAAGAGGCAACAUGUUAUAAAUAGAAUAUUUUUUAAUUAAAAAAUGUUGCCUACUGCAACAAACUCUUAAGAGUUUCCUGGAAAGGUGGUUGAACUGUUAAAACCACUGGGAUCUGUAACUCUGGGAGGUGAAUAGGGGUCUCCUAACAGCUCUCAGCACCCUUACCAAGCUACAACUCCCAGAAUUCCUCGGGAGAAGCCAUGACUGUUUAAAGUGGUUGCUGGUUCAAGGAAAAGUAAUUUAUUCUAGAUUCGCCCCCCCCCCCCAUGAAACAAAUAGAAUUAGCCGGUUGCCACUUCUUAAACACAGAGAAGGAAAUAGAAAUGGGCAAAACCUGGAAAAAAAAUUAUGAAAACUUUGGAAGAAUAGACAUUUUAAUCACAGCUAUCCUGCUAAUCCAACUGAGAUUUAAAUGUUUCCAUUUCGGCAAUUCUUCAGAAAUACCUUUGAGCAGGUGCUUAUAGUUUCUGCGACUAAGCUGCUUAUGAUCUGAUGUUAACUUGAUGCCAAGAUAUUUAAAGCCACCGUGAGCAGUGCUAAAUUCUAAUUGCUAAUAUGUAUUUAUUUCAUAGAAUCAAGAGUUGGAAGGGACCACGAGUAUCUUCUAGUCCAACCCCCUGCAGUGCCCAAUGUGGAGAUCAAACCCAUAGCCCUGAGAUUAAGAGUCUCACGCUCUGCCAACUGAGCUAUUUGCAAAGUGCCCUGCGAUAUUAGUUGCUCAUGAGUCACUGUGGCCAGAAUUUGGUACAAAUAUGCAGGCCAGAGUGAAAUCCAUAGCACAACUGAGCCUCUAACAAAAAUCUGCCAUUUGGUUCUGCUAUAGAAUCUCUUAUCUGAAAUGGACAUUGUUUACAGAAAAGGAUGGCCACUUUUGGAAGAGGCAAGUUCAGACAGUUGCUCACUGAGCCAUCGUCCCUUUAGUAAUGGUGACUUUGAGGAUUUCCAUUGAUGAGUUUCCUGUAACAUAAUUACUGUAUGACUGGGUGCUCUCCCCAUAGUUUGACCUCUUUCUACUGCUGAGCCCAGGCCUUUAACAAUGAAUGAGAGGGUUUUUAAGGAGCGCUGUCUGUGCUGGGAGAUCAGCAAAUUGUUUUGCAACUGUGACAAAGCCUGAACAGCUUGUAAGCCUGGGCCUUCUGCUAGAUACUGGACUAACAUACCAUACUUUUCUGUGUAUAAAACUAUGUUAUUAUCUUUAAAAAUCACGCUAAAAAGUGUGGGGGGGGGUCAUCUUAUACAUGGGUAGUGCAUGGGGUGGAUGUUUGAUUGGUUGCUGCUGCGGCUGUCAUCGGCUACUGUACGUGUUAUUUGUUGCUGUGUCAAUGGGUGGUAUUGAUUGGCUGACGCUCUGGCAGUUGGGCAGGCGAUUCACAGCUUCUGCCGGUGAUGGGACAGACGGGAGGCAGAUUUUGCGACAUGUGCGAUUUUCGGCAUUCCCCCC